UAGAAGGACAGAGUCAACACACACAUGA
rnacentral:piRNA from 1 species